CUCACACCCAAACCCAAGAGCUGCAGUUUAAGGUAACAGCGGUUCAAACAGAGGUGCAGACAGCACGCGAACCUCGCCGCCUUUGGGGGACUGUGCCGUGCCCCUCAGAGUGAAUGUGGAUGUUCUACAGCC
rnacentral:snoRNA from 1 species